rnacentral:rRNA from 1 species
CAGCAGCCGCGGUAAUACGUAGGUGGCAAGCGUUGUCCGGAAUUAUUGGGCGUAAAGGGCUCGCAGGCGGUUUCUUAAGUCUGAUGUGAAAGCCCCCGGCUCAACCGGGGAGGGUCAUUGGAAACUGGGAAACUUGAGUGCAGAAGAGGAGAGUGGAAUUCCACGUGUAGCGGUGAAAUGCGUAGAGAUGUGGAGGAACACUAGUGGCGAAGGCGACUCUCUGGUCUGUAACUGACGCUGAGGAGCGAAAGCGUGGGGAGCGAACAGGAUUAGAUACCCGCGUAGUCCCUGUCUCUUAUAC